rnacentral:lncRNA from 10 species
GGACAACAAAGCAUCUGGGUGUGAUUCUUCUCAUUUACUCUGCCUGGAGUUGACUGAGCUUCUUGAAUCUUUGUGUUGAUUCUUCCCUUCACUCCUGGCCAUAGGUCUUCAAAUUGUUCUCUUGCCCCAUUUUCUCUCACCGCUCCUUCUGGGGCUCCGAUCACUACAGAAAAGAAUUUACAAGCCUAUGGGCAGGAUCCGGAUGCUGGGCCUGAACACUGACACUGGAUGUCUUCUAUGCUUCACGGCGAGAGAUCUGCUUUCCAAACAGUAGGAGACCUUCCACCCACUUUAGGAAGAAAUGUAAUUCAUCUACAUUUGAGUCUUCAGCUCUCUGAUGGAUCUUAGAAACGAUGAGUCUGUGUAUUAACCAGAUUGUUCCGACGGUUAUGGUUGGAACAAGAGUCUCUUGUGACUUCUACAUCUCAAUAAAAAAUGGAAUUCCA